UUUGUGWACUGCAAGGCUAGAGUKKKGCAGAGGGGGUAGAAUUCCACGKGUAGCAGKGAAAUGCGUAGAUAUGKGGAGGAAUWCCGAUGGCGAAGGCAGCCCCCUGGGUCAACACUGACGCUCAUGCACGAAAGCGUGGGGAGCAAACAGGAUUAGAUACCUGGUAGUCCACGCCCUAAACGAUGUCAACUAGGUGUUGGGGAARGGAGACUUCUUUAGUACCGCAGCUAACGCGCUAAGUUGACCGCCUGGGGAGUACGGUCGCAAGAUUAAAACUCAAAGGAAUUGACGGGGACCCGCACAAGCGGUGGAUUAUGUGGAUUAAUUCGAUGCAACGCGAAAAACCUUACCUACCCUUGACAUGCCAGGAAGAUUCCAGAGAUGGGAUUGUGCCCGAAAGGGAACCUGGACACAGGUGCUGCAUGGCUGUCGUCAGCUCGUGUCGUGAGAUGUUGGGUUAAGUCCCGCAACGAGCGCAACCCUUGUCAUUAAUUGCCAUCAUUUGGUUGGGCACUUUAAUGAGACUGCCGGUGAUAAACCGGAGGAAGGUGGGGAUGACGUCAAGUCCUCAUGGCCCCUAUGGGUAGGGCUUCACACGUAAUACAAUGGUCGGUACAGAGGGUUGCCAACCCGCAAGGGGGAGCCAAUCUCAGAAAGCCGAUCGUAGUCCGGAUUGUAGUCUGCAACUCGACUACAUGAAGUCGGAAUCGCUAGUAAUCGCGGAUCAGCAUGUCGCGGUGAAUACGUUCCCGGGUCUUGUACACACCGCCCGUCGCACCAUGGGAGUGGAAUCUGCCAGAAGUAGGUAGCCUAACCRMAAGGGGGGCGCUUACCACGGUGGGUUUCAUGACUGGGGUKUKUMGRAACAAGGUAAC
rnacentral:rRNA from 1 species